rnacentral:rRNA from 1 species
UACAGAGGUGGCAAGCGUUGUUCGGAAUUACUGGGCGUAAAGGGCGAGUAGGAGGCCUUCUAAGUCAGACGUGAAAUCCCCCGGCUUAACCUGGGAACUGCGUCUGAUACUGGGAGGCUCGAGUAUGGGAGAGGGAUGUAGAAUUCCAGGUGUAGCGGUGAAAUGCGUAGAUAUCUGGAGGAAUACCGGUGGCGAAGGCGGCAUCCUGGACCAUUACUGACGCUGAAUCGCGAAAGCUAGGGGAGCAAACGGG